AGAGUUUGAUCCUGGCUCAGGACAAACGCUGGCGGCGUGCUUAACACAUGCAAGUCGAACGGGUACCCUUCGGGGUGCUAGUGGCGGACGGGUGAGUAACACGUAGAUAACCUGCCCUUUAGUGGGGAAUAACUCCUCGAAAGAGGAGCUAAUACCGCAUAAGCUCUCUGACGUUAGUUGGAGAGGAAACGCGCAAGUGGCUAAAGGAGGGGUCUGCGGCGGAUUAGCUAGAUGGUGGGGUAAUGGCCUACCAUGGCGACGAUCCGUAGCUGGUCUGAGAGGACGACCAGCCACACUGGGACUGAGACACGGCCCAGACUCCUACGGGAGGCAGCAGUGAGGAAUAUUCCACAAUGGGCGAAAGCCUGAUGGAGCGACGCCGCGUGAAGGAUGAAGCCCUUUGGGGUGUAAACUUCUUUUUUGAGGGAUGAAACGUGCCAAUAGGCACUAAGACAGUACCUCAAGAAUAAGCAUCGGCUAACUACGUGCCAGCAGCCGCGGUAAUACGUAGGAUGCUAGCGUUGUCCGGAUUUACUGGGCGUAAAGCGCGCGCAGGCGGCAUGGCAAGUAAGGUGUGAAAUCCAUCUGCUCAACGGGUGGGGUGCACUUUAGACUGCCAAGCUAGAGGUCGGUAGAGGGUGGUGGAAUUGCUGGUGUAGCGGUGAAAUGCGUAGAGAUCAGCAGGAACACCCGUGGCGAAGGCGGCCACCUGGGCCGUACCUGACGCUGAGGCGCGAAGGCUAGGGGAGCGAACGGGAUUAGAUACCCCAGUAGUCC
rnacentral:rRNA from 1 species